GCUGGCGUAGCUCAACGGCAGAGCAAUGGUUUUGUAAACCAUAGGUUGGAGGUUCGAUUCCUCUCGCCAGCUCCA
rnacentral:tRNA from 4 species